CGUGGAGGAGGUUUGGCGGGUCACUCGCGCGGGGGAGCCCGAGCGCCGGGCGUGGGGGCGGGGAGCAGGCGGCGCAGGAGAGCGCCCCGAGUCCCGGCGCGGGAGGAGGAGCGGGCGCCGGCCCAAGAGACCGUGCUCCUGGCCGCACCUGCGUCGGGCGGGCGGCCGCCCGGCCCUGCUCUGCCUUGCCCUAUCCUCAUCCCCGGCCCCGCACUGAAAUCACUCUUCAGAGAUGAGAGGUGGUGGAGUACACUGUUAGUCCCAGCACUCAGGAGGCAGAGACAGGUGGAUCUCUGUGAGUUUGAGGCCAUCCUGGUCUAUAGAGUGAAUUACAGGACAGAAAGGACUACACAGAAAAACCCUGUGUCAAAAAACAGAACAAAAAGAAGUCUUCCUCCAGACAGUCGAUAGUGACUUCUGUGAAAGGUUGAUCUUCCCUUCAUUUCAAAUGGUAAGUUUGGCCAUCUAGACCUGUUUCUAGAGAAUGCAAAUACUUGUUCAGAAGGUCAAGAUUUCUGGGACCAAGGGAAUGGAAUUCAGUGCUAGCAAAUCUAGAGCAGUGCUAUCCAGCGACAUUUCCUGGGACAGUGGAAAUAUUCCACAUCUGCUGCCCAAUACGGCAGACAAGGGCCACAUAUAGCUUUGAAAACUUGCAAUGCGCCUAGUUCAUCUGAGAGCUUGGUUUUUCAAUUUCAUGCACUCUUACUUAUUAACACUUAAAUAACCUUGUGUGGUGACUGUCCAAUUGGACAGUAUGCUUUUGGAAUUUUUAGAAAAAUUGAAUUUGUGCAUCACCUGUUCUUGACUUAUGCCUUGUCUCUGGUCCCCAUGAGUGCUGUUUCCAGGGGAUGCUUAAGGUUUGCUAGGUUGUUGGCAAGGAGAAUGUACAUUUUCCUCUCUAGUCGUUGAGGUCCAGACAAUGACCAGAAGGGAGAUUUCGAAUGUCUGAAGUCAUAACUGUCCUGCUCAAAUUGACUUUCCAUGUUUGAGGUCUGACCUCUCUCUUCUGUUCUCCAUGUUUCCCUUUCUGUUUGCAGGGAGCAGAGCGGCCACUGUUGGAGCACUAUAGGUGGACAUGUGUGAGCCUCAUGCCUGUCUUAGGAUUUUCUUGAUUGAUAGUGACAGAAAACUCAUCGUUUUAACUGGAUAAGAAGGAAUAUUCAUUAGCCAAGUGGUGGUGGCAACACACCUUUAAUUCCAGCGUUUGGGAGGCAGAGGCAGGUAGAUCUCAAUGAGUUUGGGGCUAGCCUGGUCUACAAAGCAAGUUUAAGGACAGUCAGGACUACACAGAGAAGAAACCUUGUCUCGGGGUAGGGCGGGGGAGGCAGCAAGAACUUUUUUUGUUAAAAUGAACUAUUAGGUUAGCUAUGAUAUUGUGGGGUAUGACAAGGUUACUUAAAUUCUUCUGAUCACAGGAAGAUGGAUAUUUAGGCCAUCAGUCAAAGCAUUUCAUUUUGUCUUCACUUAUUAAACCUGUUGUUAAAUUGUGACUGACAAGGAACCAGUCCCUGCCUGAAAGGGGCAUUUCUAGCUGGUGGACCUCUGUUUGGCCGGCAGGGGCUUUAUUUGGCUGAACUGGC
ensembl:lncRNA